CCUACGGGUGGCAGCAGUGGGGAAUAUUGGACAAUGGGCGAAAGCCUGAUCCAGCCAUGCCGCGUGUGUGAAGAAGGCCUUCGGGUUGUAAAGCACUUUCAGUGGGGAAGAAAGCCUUGGGGCUAAUACCCUCGAGGAAGGACAUCACCCACAGAAGAAGCACCGGCUAACUCCGUGCCAGCAGCCGCGGUAAUACGGAGGGUGCGAGCGUUAAUCGGAAUUACUGGGCGUAAAGCGCGCGUAGGCGGUCUGAUAAGCCGGUUGUGAAAGCCCCGGGCUCAACCUGGGAACGGCAUCCGGAACUGUCAGGCUAGAGUGCAGGAGAGGAAGGUAGAGUUCCCGGUGUAGCGGUGAAAUGCGUAGAGAUCGGGAGGAAUACCAGUGGCGAAGGCGGCCUUCUGGACUGACACUGACGCUGAGGUGCGAAAGCGUGGGUAGCAAACAGGAUUAGAUACCCCAGUAGUC
rnacentral:rRNA from 1 species